CUUCAGACUCUAUCAGUUCUUUCUACUGCAGUGGUUAUACUUUUUCAUCAUGAGUCCCUUGGAACUACAUUGAACCCCUUCAUUGCUGAUAUAGGAUAUACACGAAGAUAAAACAGUCCCUACCAUCAAGGAGCUCAAAUUCUAAUGGGGAAGAUAACAUCCUUGGGCCAAUUUGACCUUUGUGGAACCCUUGUGCUCCCUCAUCUCACAGCAAGCUCACCUCAUUUAUAAUGGAUUCAUUCAGACACUUGAUUAGCUCCAGUCUUACUGCAGCUCAGUAGCCUCAACCCAAGUGAUCCACUAGAUUCAGCCUCCCCAGCAGUAGGAGACUUAUUCUACGUGUGUAGCACUGCACCUAAUGAGUUAUAUUCUGCAACUAGCAUUGGGGAAUUUUGUAAAGCCAC
rnacentral:lncRNA from 1 species